rnacentral:rRNA from 1 species
CUUCCGUAGGUGAACCUGCGGAAGGAUCAUUACCGAGUGUAGGGUUCCUAGCGAGCCCAACCUCCCACCCGUGUUUACUGUACCUUAGUUGCUUCGGCGGGCCCGCCAUUCGUGGCCGCCGGGGGCUCUCAGCCCCGGGCCCGCGCCCGCCGGAGACACCACGAACUCUGUCUGAUCUAGUGAAGUCUGAGUUGAUUGUAUCGCAAUCAGUUAAAACUUUCAACAAUGGAUCUCUUGGUUCCGGCAUCGAUGAAGAACGCAGCGAAAUGCGAUAACUAGUGUGAAUUGCAGAAUUCCGUGAAUCAUCGAGUCUUUGAACGCACAUUGCGCCCCCUGGUAUUCCGGGGGGCAUGCCUGUCCGAGCGUCAUUGCUGCCCAUCAAGCACGGCUUGUGUGUUGGGUCGUCGUCCCCUCUCCGGGGGGGACGGGCCCCAAAGGCAGCGGCGGCACCGCGUCCGAUCCUCGAGCGUAUGGGGCUUUGUCACCCGCUCUGUAGGCCCGGCCGGCGCUUGCCGAACGCAAAUCAAUCUUUUUCCAGGUUGACCUCGGAUCAGGUAGGGAUACCCGCUGAACUU